UACGGAGGGUGCAAGCGUUGCUCGGAAUUAUUGGGCGUAAAGGGUAGGUAGGUGGUCUCAUUUGUCUUAUGUGAAAGCCUUGGGCUUAACUCAAGAAGUGCGUAAGAAACGGUGAGACUCGAGUCCUGGAGAGGGUCGUGGAAUUCCCGGUGUAGCGGUGAAAUGCGUAGAGAUCGGGAGGAACACCAGAGGCGAAGGCGGCGACCUGGACAGGAACUGACACUCAACUACGAAAGCGUGGGGAGCAAACAGG
rnacentral:rRNA from 1 species